rnacentral:lncRNA from 1 species
AGACACCUAAGCCCACGCCCCUGCCUGGCGGCAGACGCCACUGGGUUGAGAAACUAUCUGAUGGAGAGAUGGGAGAGAGGGAGUACUGGUGGAGAGAAAGCGAAGCUGAGUGGUCCCUGCACUGUGGACAGAGGUGGAGCUGGAGAUGUGAUUGUGGUAAAGAGCAGGCAGAUGUGAGGAGCCAGGGCAACCCCCUAGGGCCAUGGAAGUCCAGGCCUGAGCUGCUACUAAGAGCCAGGUCUCUACUGCACCUGGGGUUUGUGUUGAUGUCUGUGGCCUGUGUAGCCAUCGAAGGCCAUCUGGCCUGACUUGGAUUUUUGGAAACUCAACGGCCACAUCUACUGACACCCUUUCUGCAACAAGACCACACCUUCUAAUCCUUUUCAAGUGGUGAUACUUCCUGAUGACCAUACAUUCAAGUAUAUGAGCUUCUGAGGGCCAUUCUUAGUCAAACCGCUUCACACAGAUUGCAAACUGUCAAGGAAAAUGUAUUCAGAAGAAAAAUAAAAGCACAGCAAGAAAGUAUCAGGAUCAGGAGUUCAAGGGUUUCUGCUAUUAUCUAGGGCUUCCUUUUAUGGAGUGGACUAUUGCAUGGAAGAAGGUGGAGGGAGGAGUUGGUAGGGUAAGAUGGACUGUUCUCUGUUUUGCCAUACAGACUUGGGUUACAUAAGCAUUUCUUGACUGCAUAUCCUUUUCCAUGGUACAUCUGAAUUUAAUCAUAUGCAUAUGUAAUUAUGAACAAGCAAAAGAUGGUACAUAGGGGAAAUUUCCCCUAAAAGUUCACUUUUAGGACAGUUUGCCUUACUGUGCAUAUAUCUAAACCUUGUUCAGGCAUCUCCCCCCAUCUCCGGUCUGAUAUGUUCCACAACAGGAUUGAAUGGAAACUGACCCCAAAAGGGAGGUUCCAAGAGGUAGCUAAGGAGACAAACCUUACUCAGGGCUUGGAUCACGGAGCAGC